rnacentral:rRNA from 1 species
ACGAACGCUGGCGGCGUGGAUAAGACAUGCAAGUCGAACGAGAGAAUUGCUAGCUUGCUAAUAAUUCUCUAGUGGCGCACGGGUGAGUAACACGUGAGUAACCUGCCCCCGAGAGCGGGAUAGCCCUGGGAAACUGGGAUUAAUACCGCAUAGUAUCGAAAGAUUAAAGCAGCAAUGCGCUUGGGGAUGGGCUCGCGGCCUAUUAGUUAGUUGGUGAGGUAACGGCUCACCAAGGCGAUGACGGGUAGCCGGUCUGAGAGGAUGUCCGGCCACACUGGAACUGAGACACGGUCCAGACACCUACGGGUGGCAGCAGUCGAGAAUCAUUCACAAUGGGGGAAACCCUGAUGGUGCGACGCCGCGUGGGGGAAUGAAGGUCUUCGGAUUGUAAACCCCUGUCAUGUGGGAGCAAAUUAAAAAGAUAGUACCACAAGAGGAAGAGACGGCUAACUCUGUGCCAGCAGCCGCGGUAAUACAGAGGUCUCAAGCGUUGUUCGGAAUCACUGGGCGUAAAGCGUGCGUAGGCUGUUUCGUAAGUCGUGUGUGAAAGGCGCGGGCUCAACCCGCGGACGGCACAUGAUACUGCGAGACUAGAGUAAUAGAGGGGGAACCGGAAUUCUCGGUGUAGCAGUGAAAUGCGUAGAUAUCGAGAGGAACACUCGUGGCGAAGGCGGGUUCCUGGACAUUAACUGACGCUGAGGCACGAAGGCCAGGGGAGCGAAAGGGAUUAGAUACCCCUGUAGUCCUGGCAGUAAACGGUGCACGCUUGGUGUGCGGGGAAUCGACCCCCUGCGUGCCGGAGCUAACGCGUUAAGCGUGCCGCCUGGGGAGUACGGUCGCAAGAUUAAAACUCAAAGAAAUUGACGGGGACCCGCACAAGCGGUGGAGUAUGUGGCUUAAUUCGAUGCAACGCGAAGAACCUUACCUGGGCUUGACAUGUAAUGAACAACAUGUGAAAGCAUGCGACUCUUCGGAGGCGUUACACAGGUGCUGCAUGGCCGUCGUCAGCUCGUGUCGUGAGAUGUUUGGUUAAGUCCAGCAACGAGCGCAACCCCUGUUGCCAGUUACCAGCACGUGAAGGUGGGGACUCUGGCGAGACUGCCCAGAUCAACUGGGAGGAAGGUGGGGACGACGUCAGGUCAGUAUGGCCCUUAUGCCCAGGGCUGCACACGUACUACAAUGCCCAGUACAGAGGGGGCCGAAGCCGCGAGGCGGAGGAAAUCCUGAAAACUGGGCCCAGUUCGGACUGUAGGCUGCAACCCGCCUACACGAAGCCGGAAUCGCUAGUAAUGGCGCAUCAGCUACGGCGCCGUGAAUACGUUCCCGGGUCUUGUACACACCGCCCGUCACAUCAUGGAAGCCGGUCGCACCCGAAGUAUCUGAAGCCAACCGCAAGGAGGCAGGGUCCUAAGGUGAGACUGGUAACUGGGAUG